UGAUAAAUGCUAUAAAGAAGUGCUAAGUUCUAUGGUAGUGUAUAGUAUGUGGAAUCUAUCAACUGUUCAGGUACUUAUUGAACAGUUGAUCUUUAAAAGGAGAUGGUUUGGUGGAAGUGGAGGAGAAUUCAAUUAAAAAACAACAGGGCACAGUGGUGUACGUUUGUAAUCCCAGCUACUCAGGAGGCUGAGGUGGAAGUACUGCUUAAACCCAGGAGUUAGAGACCAGCUUGGGCAGCAUAGGGAGACCUCAUUUUUUGGGGGGAGGGGGAAUACCCAAAAAACCCAACCAUACACACACAAAACCAACCAAACAAAAAACAACAAUGAACAUUUAUUAUUUCAGAGUAUCCCUGGGUCAGAAUCUGGGUGUGGCUUAGCUGGGUUCUCUGUUUCAGGAUCUCUCGCAAAGAUGCAAACAAAAGUCUUGCCCAGGGCUGCGAUCGCAUCUGCAGGAAGAUUCACUUCCAAGUUUGCUUACAUGGUUGUUGGCAGAAUGCAGCUCCUCAUAGGCUGUUAAGCCAAGGCUUUCAGUUCUUUGGUAGGAAUUCAGUUCCUCACAGGUUUUUUGGUGGCUGGAGAUCUCCUUUAGUUCCUUGGCAUAUAGGUCAGAAUAAUUUAUUUUUGUCCUAGGGUGGGUACUUAAGCUUUGAUAAAACUGAUUUAUAAUGUCUUUAUGGAGUAAAAAUUAGCACAGCAUUCAUGUUCUUAGCUCUAUAUUCAAGAAUAAAAUAAGUGUGUAUAUUCUGUGAAUAUUCUGGUUGGUAUACAUUUUUGGCCUGUAUGUAAAUUAAUAUGUGGGUGACUUAAACAUUCACAGAGAAUUAAUUAUAUAUUGCAAAGGACAAACACAUAAUUCUGUUCAAGAUAGGAAUGUCAAGAAAACUUUAAGAUGAUUUUGUCUUUUAAUCACAUCAUGGUUAUAAUUUCAAAUGAUUUUUCAUUCCCUCCUUUCCUUCCCAUCACACAGACUAUACUGUAAAUAUACUCUCUGAAGUUGCACAACGUGACAAGCUUAAGCUUAGCCACACAAGUAUGUGCAUAUACAAUUAUUUUAUUUUUUGAUCUGAUGCUGACAGUGCUGUGCGUUUUACCUGAACUCAGAAAAUUUAAUUUCUAAAUUAUAAUAUAUGGUUAGAUAUUUACUAAAAUCCUGAAACUAGAAUUUUACUCCCAAUCUUAGACCUUGCAAAUGGUAACUCUAGUUUAGUGUACACAUUUUCAACAUGGGCAAUAUUACUCCCCAAGAGGAAAAAAUUGUUUUUUUGGGAGGGUAUGAAAAAAAGUAUGUUUUAUAUAUAAAGCAUAGAUACACAUACAGUCCAUUAAAGCAUAUACAGUGUAUCUAUGGUGUUAAAAUUUUACAGUGGGGUGCUGAAUAGGAAAAACAGGUCUAAAAGGGUUCCAUAAGGGGGCUGAUAAUGGAAAUAAAAGUUGAGAAACAUGGCCCUAGUGCUAAGCUUAACAGACAGCUGUUUGACGAACCAUCUGGCAUUAGAUUUUUUUCCUGCAUGAUUUCCUGUAUUAGAAUAUAAGCUUCUUAAGGACAGAAAAUGUAAUCUGAUUUGUAUUUUCAAUAAUAGCUAACACAAUAGUUACGUUCAACUGCAUUCAGUAUAUGUAUAUUUAAUUGAAUUAAUAUGGAGUACAUCUUCCCCUACUUGCACUCAUCCUAUUAGCUCUAUAAAAUCUAAAUGUAAUGACCAAAAUUAGUCUAGUAAAGCACAACCUAUCACAAUCUCCCUCACAAAAAUCCUAGUAAAAUAAUGACAAAUUUUAUUCAAAGAAUGGAAAAUCUUCAAAGUAGCAUAAGAGAAGGAGUACAGACUAGAGACAGAGAGAUGAAUCAGGGCUUUGAUUUCCACCUCUUAUCAUUUGCAAGCCGAGGAGCCUUGAGCCAAGUUAUGUAAAGAGAAAGUGAAAGAGGAUAAAAAAGAAUAAAAAAGGGACCUUUCUAGGGGAAGGGUACAAGAAGGGACAAUGGCAUUUCUAGCAGGUUUUUGUUUUGUUUUGAGACAGGGUCUCGCUCUGUCUCCAGGCUGGAGUGCAGUGGUGCGAUCUUGGCUCACUGCAACCUCUGCCUCCCGGGUUCAAGCGAUUCUUGUGCCUCAGCCCUCCCCCCGAGUAGCUGUGAUUACAGGCAAGUGCCACUAGGUUUGGCUAAUUUUUUGUAUUUUCAGUAGAGACAGGGUUUCGCCAUGUUGGCCGGGCUGGUCUCAAACUCCUAGCCUCAUGUGAUUCGCCUGCCUCGGCUCCCAAAGUGCUGGGAUUACAAGCAUGAGCCGCCGUGCCUGGCCCUAACAGUCUUAUAUACACCCAAAAUUUCAGGCAUGCUGAAUUUCUGGCAGUUCCCCAAAUAAUGCAUGGCUCAAAUAUGCCGUAUUUCACACUUACAUAUUUUAUAUAUACAUUCACAUUCCUCUUCCCAGAACAUCAUUUAUUUGUCCUCCAAUACUCAGCUCAGGUCACACUUUUUUUUUUUUUGGAUGGAGUCUUGCUCUGUUGCCCAGGCUAGAGUGCAGUGGCACGAUCCUGGCUCAC
rnacentral:lncRNA from 1 species